UCUGUCUUCUUAACAAUCAUGUGCCUUGGGUGCUGCAGUGCGCUGGUUUGGGGUUCAAGUGCAAAACACAAACCUCAGAGGGUGGGCAGGGAACAUGAACUAGAAGAUGAAGACGUCGUCCAAAUCAUCAAGAAGGUGUGAUUGUAGAACUUGUACUUUGAAUGCUGCAGUUGAUGCAGAUCUCUAGCACUAAAGGGUUUCAUCGCAUGUUGAGGUUUGUCCUAGAUUGCAUCCCUUGGUUUAGUUGUCCUUUUUCCAGUAGUUAGAUCUAGUUUGAACAAAGUAAAUCUUGUUGUGCCUGUUGUCACGGACAAGCUAUAUGGUGAAUCUGCACAUGUGCUGGCUAAUCGUCCUCUGUAUCAUCUAAAGCCUGCCCCAGGGAGCAGUUAGUGGUAGUUGAAACUGCAAAAAUUUAGUUUGUUUGUUCAUACACUGUUGCCUCCAACUGGAGCUAAAAUUUUCCAUGAGAACUUUUAGUGUUUUUGAUGAUUUUAUGUUGAA